GUAAUACAUAUAAUUUGCAUAGGCAGAAAUUUUGCUUCUUUCUUUUUACAAUUUCACUUGCGAAUUCACUGGCAAAGCCAGCGAAAUACUUCAUUCACGCACAACUCACAAAGUCUACUGAAAUCGGGGAAGUAAAUGCUUAAUUUACUUUUUGCCUGUCACAUACACCUCCCGUCUGCUGUUACUGACUUUCUGCUCUACACAAUAUGUUUGAGUGGGUGGGUGAGUGCUUACUUUCGGUCAACAUUGAAUUAGCACAUGAGGAGAAUGGGUGUUGAUGAACGGGAAGCGUUUGCAGCUCGAAUCAAAACAAAAGCAAAAAAUCCAUUAGCAUGUGCGGUUUGUGGAGAGGAAAAAAGAGCGCAGAUGAGAAAUCAUAAGUCAAACGUCAACGUGGGCUGUCAACUUAUUAACUUUUGGUUGCUCGAAUUUUUGUUGGUUUUUGUUGCUUUAUGAGUUAAUCAACAAGUUAUUUAUAUUGACAAAUUGUUUAUGUUAUCAGCAUAAACUUUGAACGGGAUUACUUUUGGUUUAUUUUUAGCACAAACAGUGUUGCUGUAAAAUGAAAUUUACCCGCAGCUGGGAUAUUGUGAUUAUAUUGAAAAUUAAUAUGGAAUAUGUAAAAAGUAUAUUAAAAAACAAAUAAUGAAAUUAAGACUAACAAUAUUAAAUUUUCAAAAAUAUUUAAAAUAAUUUACAGAGAACUUGUAAUUUCUAUCAGUAUAAAUUUAAAAUAAGUACUUAAAUUAAAAAAAAUUUAAGUUAGUAGAAUAAAGUACUACAUUUUUUAUUAAUGUAAAGAAAUUAUGUAUGGUAAAUUAAAAAAAAACAAUGAGAUACAUUUUCUAUAAAUAUGCACAAUGAUUUUUAGAAAAAAUGUAAUAUAUAAGAAAACAAAUUUUAAUAACUGAUAAAAAAUUAUAAUAAAUAAAAAAGAGUU